rnacentral:rRNA from 1 species
AGCAGCCGCGGUAAUUCCAGCUCCAAUAGCGUAUAUUAAAGUUGUUGCAGUUAAAAAGCUCGUAGUUGAAUUUUAGACUUGGCCGGGCGGUCCGUCUUUGGCGAGUACUGUUCUGUUGUCGGGUCUUCCUUCUGGUGAACCAGUAUGUCCUUAAUUGGGUGUGUUGGGGAGCCAGGACCAUUACCUUGAAAAAUUAGAGUGUUUAAAGCGGGCUAUUGCUUGAAUAGAUUAGCAUGGAAUAAUAGAAUAGGACGUUGUGGUUCUAUUUUGUUGGUUUCUAGGACCACCGUAAUGAUUAAUAGGGAUAGUUGGGGGCAUUAGUAUUCAAUUGUCAGAGGUGAAAUUCUUGGAUUUAUUGAAGACUAACUAUUGCGAAAGCAUUUGCCAAGGAUGUUUUCAUUAAUCAAGAACGAAAGUUAGGGGAUCGAAGACGAUCAGAUACCGUCGUAGUCUUAA